rnacentral:rRNA from 1 species
GUACACGCUGUGACUAGCAUAUCAAUAAGCGGAGGAAAAGAAACUAACAAGGAUUCCCCUAGUAACGGCGAGUGAAGCGGGAAGAGCUCAAAUUUGAAAUCUUAAAGGGUUUCCCUUUACGAAUUGUAGUUUAAAGAAGUGUUUUCUGUUGAGGUUUUGGUAAAAGUUCUUUGGAAUAGGACAUCAUAGAGGGUGAGAAUCCCGUAUUUGACCUUUACUUUCAACUUUGUGAUACACUUUCAAAGAGUCGGAUUGUUUGGGAAUGCAGUCCAAAAUGGGUGGUAAAUUUCAUCUAAAGCUAAAUAUUGGCGAGAGACCGAUAGCGAACAAGUACCGUGAGGGAAAGAUGAAAAGAACUUUGAAAAGAGAGUUAAACAGUACGUGAAAUUGUCAAAAGGGAAGCGUUUGACACCAGUGUUGUUUUUCUGAAAAUCAAUUAAAGAACUGUUUAUGCUAAGCUGUUUAGACUUUAUCAGCUAAUCUGUUUAGUUUUGAGCUUUUCUUUAAUGCACUUUUCAGUUAACAAGUCAACAGUCAAUUUCUUUUGCUGUAAAAAAGCUUGAGGAAGGUGGCUUGAGAUUCGUCUUAAGUGUUUAUAGCCUCUUGCCUAUGCAGUCGGAGAGAUUGAGGUCUGCAGCGUAGAUCCUUCGGGGCUAAAUGCAUUUGUGCUAAGUUAUAGCAUUUUAUAGACAACUUGUUGACUAUGAUUUGUCUUGUAGCUUACUCGCUUAUGUUAUUUUACCUACGCUUAGGAUGUUGAAGAUGUAGCACAUCAU